rnacentral:rRNA from 1 species
UGGGGAAUAUUGCGCAAUGGAGGAAACUCUGACGCAGUGACGCCGCGUGCAGGAAGAAGGUUUUCGGAUUGUAAACUGCUUUAGACAGGGAAGAAACAAGACAGUACCUGUAGAAUAAGCUCCGGCUAACUACGUGCCAGCAGCCGCGGUAAUACGUAGGGAGCAAGCGUUAUCCGGAUUUAUUGGGUGUAAAGGGUGCGUAGACGGGAAUGCAAGUUGGUUGUGAAAUCCCUCGGCUCAACCGAGGAAUUGCAACCAAAACUAUAUUUCUUGAAUGCUGGAGAGGAAAGUGGAAUUCCUAGUGUAGCGGUGAAAUGCGUAGAUAUUAGGAGGAACACCAGUGGCGAAGGCGGCUUACUGGACGGUAACUGACGUUGAGGCUCGAAAGCGUGGGGAGCAAACAGGAUUAGAUACCC